GUUUUACUCUCUCCGUCCGGAAAUACUUGUCCUAAAAAUGAAUAAUAUUGGAUCUAUCUAUAACUGAAAUAACUCUAGAUGCAAUCAUUUUUAAUACAAGCAUUUCCAGACGAAGAGAGUAUUUC
rfam:Triticum aestivum genome assembly, contig: Triticum_aestivum_CS42_TGACv1_scaffold_641571_T_5BL-0.216015_7BL-0.144553